rnacentral:rRNA from 1 species
AGUCGAACGGGCUCUUCGGAGCUAGUGGCGGACGGGUGAGUAACGCGUGAGAAUCUGGCUUCAGGUUCGGGACAACAGUUGGAAACGACUGCUAAUACCGGAUGUGCCUUAGGGUGAAAGAUUUAUCACCUGAAGAUGAGCUCGCGUCUGAUUAGCUAGUUGGUGUGGUAAGAGCGCACCAAGGCACCGAUCAGUAGCUGGUCUGAGAGGAUGACCAGCCACACUGGGACUGAGACACGGCCCAGACUCCUACGGGAGGCAGCAGUGGGGAAUUUUCCGCAAUGGGCGAAAGCCUGACGGAGCAAUACCGCGUGAGGGAGGAAGGCUCUUGGGUUGUAAACCUCUUUUCUCAGGGAAGAAGUCCUGACGGUACCUGAGGAAUCAGCAUCGGCUAACUCCGUGCCAGCAGCCGCGGUAAUACGGAGGAUGCAAGCGUUAUCCGGAAUGAUUGGGCGUAAAGCGUCCGCAGGUGGCAAUGUAAGUCUGCUGUCAAAGCGUCUGGCUUAACCAGAUAAAGGCAGUGGAAACUACAUAGCUAGAGUAAGGUAGGGGUAGAGGGAAUUCCUGGUGUAGCGGUGAAAUGCGUAGAGAUCAGGAAGAACACCGGUGGCGAAAGCGCUCUGCUGGACCUUAACUGACACUGAGGGACGAAAGCUAGGGGAGCGAAUGGGAUUAGAUACCCCAGUAGUCCUAGCCG